ensembl:lncRNA
GCCUUAGCCUCGGAUUCCGCCCCCCUCGCGGGGAACGUGUGUCUGCGCUUGCGCGGUGGGCUUCCUAAGGGCCUAGGAUUUGGGUCUUGAAACUGGUUCCGAGGAAGUGGGGUAAGGGGAGACCUCCAGCCUGGGAUACUCAGGAACUUCCAAGGAUUCCUUCCUUCCUAGGGAGUCCGGAGAGACCCUUCAGAGCUCAAGUCUGGAGCUCCUCUGACAGGAGAUGGCCACCCCGAGUAUCUUAGCACACUAAAGAGGCAACCAAGUUGGGGGAGGAAUCCAGUCUUCGCGGGUUCUUCCUUUGCCCCAGUAGGGUGAGGGACAGAGAUGAGGGGAUGCAAAGCCACCCCUGACAGGACAAAUCAUAGGAUUGCCUACUAGGGAAGUAGAACAAAGGGUUGAAGUAAUCCUGCGUUCCAGCCCCAAUUCCAUGUGACUCAAGAGACCUUCCAGUGGUUUCCCAAGUCCCUCUUGGGACUACGUUGUGUGGAUCAGGGGACUAGUUACAGAGGAGAAAUAUAAGGUAUCCAGGAACUAAACUGAUCUGUACAAUAAUAAAGAGCUGGCUCAGAAGAGAUUUAAGAGUGAUUUUACAGCCUUUCCUGAUGCCUCAGAGGUAAAGAAUCUGCUUGCCAAUGUAGGAGACUCAGAUUCCAUCCCUGGGUCUGGAAGAUCCCCUGCAGAAGGAAAUGGCAACCCACUCCAGUAUUCUUGCCUGGGAAACACCAUGGACAGAAGAGCCUGAAGGGCUACAGUCCACAGGAUGGCAAGAGUCAGACGUGACUUAACGACUAAACAACAACCAGUCCUUUUAGUCAGUUGCAGGAGAGAGGAAGAUAAGAAGAUGAGAAAAAUGAAAUAGCACCUGUCAUAAUGAGAGGAACUUGGAGGACCUGGAUGGUUGAAAGGACUGUUUAAACAUUUUGUCAAAGUCUUAUAGUAUACUUUUCACCUUUGAUGUCUCUUUAAAAUUCUUCCCUGAAAGUC